AAAUUAUCCUCAUAAGUUAGACGAAAAGAGGUACCAUUUGUGAAUUCUAUUAAUGAGGUUUUUUUUUUCUCAAUAAAUGAUAGAUAAAUGGUGGCACAGAAUCGGAGGCCCCGACUGUUUACUAAAAACACAACACAGUGCAAUCAUUAAUAUGGUAGUAUACUGUGUGAAAUUUGCUCAAUGCCAUUAAUAUAAAAGCGGUCAUGGGAAACUGUGACUAAUUGAAAAUCUGGUUAAUAGCGGUCUUAACCAUGAGGAUCCUAAGGUAGCAAAAUAAAUUGGCCAUUAAAUGUGGUCCGGUAUCAAUAAUGUAACGAUGGCCUCACUGUCUCUACAACUUGCUCAGUGAAAUUGAAUUACGCGUGCAAAUGCGCGUUACCUCCAAAGGGACGGGAAAACCCUAUGCACUUUCU
rnacentral:rRNA from 1 species